rnacentral:piRNA from 1 species
UGAAAAGAAGGUUUGAAGGAAAGG